UACGCCCACACCGGUUCCGCUCCUCUGACGCUGGGAAUGGUGGGUGUGCUUGCGCUCUGGAAGACCUCGGAACUCAGAACAGUGGAAGACAAAGAUGUAGGGUUGCCAGAGAAAAUUUUCCACUUGAAACAGAGCUUACCUGGUGGAUGACAACUGACUUACUUUGGUGUUUCAGCAACAGAAGCUGGUAAGAGGUGACCAGAAUGGAAGUCCUCAAACCAUUUUGAGUGAAAUUCCUGCAGUUUUAAGAAGUUGUCAACUCCCUCCUUUGCUACAUUUGCCUAUGUUGUACUUUGAUUGUCUUUACAUAUCUAACUCCCAAUGAAAUUCAGCUCAUGGGCCUCCCCGGUGGCGCAGUGGUUGAGCGCUGGAUUGUGAAGCUGCCCGCAGCCUCUGCAGCGCUGGUUCGAUUCCCAGCUGCAUCCCGACCACCGGAGGAGGGUCCCACAUGGCACGCAGACCUCUCCUGCCGCCCACUGCUCCCCUCAGCAGUGUACUUCGGUCCUUCUGCCUGCUCUGCUCCCUGCUGUGGCUCUGGUGAAUUCUCUCACCCUCCCGCACUUCUGACUGUACCCAGUGCUUGUAUAAAUAAAUAAAUAAAUCUUUAAAAAAAAAAAGAAAAAAGAAAUUCAGCUCAUGACCUUUUCUAGGAAGUCUUCGCUACAUCCUCUGCCGUGUGUCCUUUUGUUUGCCAUCUUGUUCGUCCUUCUGUUUUUGUGCCACAC